UUUGAUUCAGUGUCUGUUGAUAUUUGUCGUUGAAUCUAUCUUUGUUCCGUGUCCAUUUUUCUUAUCGGUUUAAGAAAUUUCGCAAGGAUUAAAUCAUUCUACUUUUAAACUCAAGUUAUCUAGAUUAUUUUGGUUAUUAAAUAUAAAUCUCCAAAGCUAUACAAAUAGUUAUCUUAAUUAAAUAAUAACUUAUGAAAUUUGAUUAAUUAAUAAAGAUGGAUUUGAAUCUAAACAUUUAUUUAAAGAUAAUAGUUCGACAAUUCUUUUCUUUUAAAGAUUAUAAUAUUUGUAGUGGUAUUUAAAUGUUUAGGCCUGCGUAUUUGGUUUUGAUUAACUUUUAUAAGUAUUUCAUUUGAAUCCAAUUUAUGACAUUUAUCAUAUUUCUAAGUUAUAACUUUUCCAAAGUUAGAAAAUUAGUUUUCUUUUUAUCUAAUGUUGAUUUGCUAUGAAAUGUGAUAGACUAUUUUAUUUGAUAACAUUCAAACGCUCAAUAUAAGAAAAUAUUGUUGCUAAGUAUCUUGUUUUACAAAUAAUAGCAUUAUUAAACGUUGUUUAAAAUAUUUGAUAGCUAUUUUUCUUGGAUUUGUUUAAACGUUUUAUUUACAAAUUACGGAUAAUAGGUUAGAAACUUUUUUUUGGUCAUACAGAUGCUAGAUUAUUUAAACAAGGUUUUCAAUAAGUUCGUUUAUACAAGAUAAAAUAUUUCAGUCAUCGUGGUCAGCUAUGUACCAGUCUCUACAACGGUUUUGUGUUGAGUUCGAUAUCAGUUAUGUGUAUGGCCGACUUUUGUUUCCGUAUCAGUUUUAGAUCGGUUAGUGUAUCAGUCUUUCGUCGUCUGCAUCUGUUUUAUGUACUCGUGUCAGUAAUCGUUUCAGUUCAGUCUUAGUUCUAUUAUGUUUUUCUUUCCGCUGAUAUGACUUUACUUGUACUGUUGAUUUCUCCGUUACUGAGCAAUUUUUGGCUCAGCCGUAAUAUGGGAUGACCUGGGAUUUCAGUGAAGAGCGUUAGGAAGUUGCUAGUCAAGAUUCUUUAUUUCAGUAAUGUAAUAAAUGUAAUUAGGAUCUUUUAUUUAAUGCUAUGCAUUGGUAUUUGGUUUUGAUAUCUGUAAGAGUGACACGUCAGCCCUAUUCGGGUCGGGGUGUUACACAACACAUCUUUUAAACUUGUU
rnacentral:lncRNA from 1 species